CGCCUGUUUAUCAAAAACAUGUCUGUUUGCAAGAAAUACACAGUCUGGCCUGCCCACUGAGUGUUUUAAAGGGCCGCGGUAAUUUGACCGUGCGAAGGUAGCAUAAUCAAUAGUCUUUUAAUUGGGGGCUGGUAUGAAUGGUCGGACAAGAAGUAAUCUGUCUUUUUUGUAGAAAUUGAAUUUAACUUUUAAGUGAAAAGGCUUAAAUAUUCUAAGGGGACGAUAAGACCCUAUAAAACUUUAUAGAGUUUAAAUUAUUUUUAGAAUUUACGUAUAAGUAAAAUUAACUUUCUUUUAUUACGUUGGGGCGACGUGAAUAUAAAUUGUAACUGUUUGGUGGUUAAAAUAAAUAUAUUUAGGGAGGUUGAUCCUUUAUUAUGGAUUAUAAGAAUAAGUUACUUUAGGGAUAACAGCGUAAUUUUUUCUGAGAGUUCUUAUCGACGAAAGUAGUUGCGACCUCGAUGUUGAAUUAAAGUAGCUCCGCGAUGUAGAAGUUGCGGGCGUGGGUCUGUUCGACCUUUAAAACUUUACAUGAUUUGAGUUCAAACCGGUGUGAGCCAGGUUGGUUUCUAUCUA
rnacentral:rRNA from 1 species